rnacentral:misc_RNA from 1 species
GAUGAAGAACGCAGCGAAAUGCGAUAAGUAAUGUGAAUUGCAGAAUUCAGUGAAUCAUCGAAUCUUUGAACGCACAUUGCGCCCGCCAGUAUUCUGGCGGGCAUGCCUGUUCGAGCGUCAUUUCAACCACUCAGGCCCUGGUGCCUGGCGUCGGGGUUUCUUGCUUCGGUAAAAUCCCCUAGAAUCAGUGGCGGACCCGCCGCGGCUCCGAGCGUAGUAGUAAAAUAUCUCGCUAUGGAGGCCCGUGGGGGGAUUACCGGCCGUAAAACCUCUUCUUUACUGAAGAACUUCUCAAGGUUGACCUCGGAUCAGGUAGGAAUACCCGCUGAACUUAAGCAUAUCAAUAAGCGGAGGA